UACGAAGGGGGGCUAGCGUUGCUCGGAAUCACUGGGCGUAAAGCGCACGUAGGCGGAUUUCUAAGUCAGGGGUGAAAUCCUGGAGCUCAACUCCAGAACUGCCUUUGAUACUGGGAAUCUCGAGUCCGGGAGAGGUGAGUGGAACUGCGAGUGUAGAGGUGAAAUUCGUAGAUAUUCGCAAGAACACCAGUGGCGAAGGCGGCUCACUGGCUCGGUACUGACGCUGAGGUGCGAAAGCGUGGGGAGCAAACAGGG
rnacentral:rRNA from 1 species